GUCGAACGAGAAAGCCGANGCUUGCUUUUGGCGAGUAGAGUGGCGCACGGGUGAGUAACGCGUGGGUAAUCUGCCUUCGAACCGGGGAUAACACUUCGAAAGGGGUGCUAAUACCGGAUGACAUCCAGGUGUCUUCGGGCGUCUGGAUCAAAGAUGGCCUCUCCAUGGAAGCUGUUGUUCGAAGAUGAGCCCGCGUCCCAUUAGCUUGUUGGUGGGGUAAAGGCCCACCAAGGCGACGAUGGGUAGCUGGUCUGAGAGGAUGAUCAGCCACACUGGCACUGACACACGGGCCAGACUCCUACGGGAGGCAGCAGUGAGGAAUUUUGCGCAAUGGGGGUAACCCUGACGCAGCAACGCCGCGUGAGUGAAGAAGGCCUUCGGGUCGUAAAGCUCUGUCGAGUGGGAAGAACCCGCAUCAGGUGACAAGGCUGAUGCGCUGACGGUACCACUGGAGGAAGCACCGGCUAACUCCGUGCCAGCAGCCGCGGUAAUACGGAGGGUGCAAGCGUUAUUCGGAAUUACUGGGCGUAAAGGGCGCGCAGGCGGCCUGGUAAGUCAGUAGUGAAAGCCCGGGGCUCAACCCCGGAAGU
rnacentral:rRNA from 1 species